UUCAUUUACCCUUUUUGUUGGUAAUGAUUGUUUCUCCUUUUGAUUGGUCAUCAUCAUAUACCUAGUUCGCGGUAUCACGAUGUCCUCUCUUUUCGAUCGAUUUAUCCUUUAUUAACCCAGUAACCGGUUGUGGAUAAUCUUCCAUGCGAGUAUAUUAACUACGUUCUGACGGUAAUAGAUAAUAUAUCUCAUGCACUCUCUGGUCGAAGUCCUUUGCUCUUCCCCAGUCGAGUAAGAUUCUUAUCCCUUUUUUGGAAUCGAAUGACCAUCCUAUAAUCGAGUU
rnacentral:lncRNA from 1 species